GACGAACGCUGGCGGCGUGCUUAACACAUGCAAGUCGAACGGAAAGGCCCUGCUUGCAGGGUACUCGAGUGGCGAACGGGUGAGUAACACGUGGGUGAUCUGCCCUGCACUUCGGGAUAAGCCUGGGAAACUGGGUCUAAUACCGGAUAGGAGACAUUUUUAGUGUGAUGGUUGGAAAGUUUUUUCGGUGUAGGAUGAGCUCGCGGCCUAUCAGCUUGUUGGUGGGGUAAUGGCCUACCAAGGCGGCGACGGGUAGCCGGCCUGAGAGGGUGGACGGCCACAUUGGGACUGAGAUACGGCCCAGACUCCUACGGGAGGCAGCAGUGGGGAAUAUUGCACAAUGGGCGCAAGCCUGAUGCAGCGACGCCGCGUGGGGGAUGACGGCCUUCGGGUUGUAGACUCCUUUCGCUAGGGACGAAGCUUUUUGUGACGGUACCUAGAUAAGAAGCACCGGCUAACUACGUG
rnacentral:rRNA from 1 species